GACGAACGCUGGCGGCGUGCUUAACACAUGCAAGUCGAACGGAAAGGCCCUGCUUUUGUGUGGUGCUCGAGUGGCGAACGGGUGAGUAACACGUGAGUAACCUGCCCUUGACUUUGUGAUAACUUCAGGAAACUGGGGCUAAUACCGGAUAGGAGCUCCUGCUGCAUGGGGGGGGUUGGAAAGUUUCGGCGGAUGGGGAUGGACUCGCGGCUUACCAGCUUGUUGGGGGGGUAGUUGCUUACCAAGGCUUUGACGGGUAGCCGGCCUGAGAGGGUGACCGGCCACAUUGGGACUGAGAUACGGCCCAGACGCCGACGGGAGGCAGCAGUGGGGAAUAUUGCACAAUGGGCGGAAGCCGGAUGCAGCAACGCCGCGUGCGGGAUGACGGCCUUCGGGUUGUAAACCGCUUUCGCCUGUGACGAAGCGUGAGUGACGGUAAUGGGUAGAGAAGCACCGGCUAACUACGGG
rnacentral:rRNA from 1 species